GUUACUGUCUUUUUGCACUUAGUUGUUAUACUACCUGCGAAGCCUCAAAAUCAUUCUCAUUGUAUCCAGUGAGAUGCUUGAUGGCUGCCGAGCAUUAUCAUCAAUGACUACUGUGACAACUCCCCUUGUGUUUGACCAACUCAUGAAAUCCACAAGGUCAUUCAGAGUCUUCAUAUUCUUGUUUUAGCACCUUUCAUUCCUUCCUAAGUAUACAAAACAGUUGCUGCAUAUUUAGCAAGUACUAUGGCUUGUAUGUUUUAAACAUGGAAACCUUUUGUCUCGUUAUUCAGUACCUUUGGCACUCUUACCCUAUUAUCCACCUUGAUGUGCGAAGUUAUCAAACUGAUGAGGAGACAUGGAGCUGGGAGGCGCAUGAUAUCUUAUUAGAUACCUCGACCACUCUACUCAUGUUUUUAUUCAUUGACCCCAGGGAAAAAAUUUUUUGGAUCUGCCACUGACUUCAGCCAUUGAAUGGUACCGGCGGGAAGGCGUUACUUUCACCUGAAGGGAUAAGUGCUGCAAGCCAAUCUUUUUUUCCUUAAUUGCAGAGUAUGAGCUAAGAGGUAAUAAUCUUCAUAAAUAUAAUAAAAUGAGCAUAUAUUGAGGCUUACCUGCUGGAAUUGAGGACAGCGGAUGGAGUGAUGUAGGGUUGGACUGAUUGCUGGAGAUGGAAAGGGCAUUGGGAAAUAUGAAGUUUUGGCUGUUGCCAUUGCUGUGGUUUAUGUGAAUUGAGAGGCUGAAGGACUUGUCGGUUUUGAUUCAGGACUAGUCGUUUCCUUCUAUGGAACCAAUAGGAUUUGCAGUUAGGGUGGCUCUACUAUAACUUGGAUUGGGAGGCGAGACAAUGUAAAAUUGGAAAUUUGCUUCCUUCUCACUGUCUUGGCAUGGUGAGAGUUCCAGAGCUUUCCUUCGUAGAUACGAAUUGGAUAUAUUAUUCUCACUCUGUUGGAUAUAAAUUGGAUAUAUUAUCAGCCAAAUUACUCAGUUUUAGUUGCAUUCCAAUUUCAAUUUCAAUGAAAUCACUAUUGUUAUAUUA